UUGACUUAUUUAAAAGUUUACUCAGAGAGACAAAAAAAAAUAUAGCGUUUAUAACCUCCGGCGGGCGCCCGUAAAGGCUACGGCCCCGCCCUGGGGCCGCCCACCGAAGCAACGAUGCGGUAGGUUCACAAGUGUUUAGGGAGUUUUUCAACUCUGUAAUGAUCCCUCCGCUGGUUCACCAACGGAGA
rnacentral:misc_RNA from 1 species